rnacentral:lncRNA from 1 species
GCACCCUCUUGAUUAUAGAGCUAUGGAGUAGAAGACAGAUGGAGAAUGAGAGGCCUGUGAGAACAAUCAGUCAGUUGCCAUCUUUCAGAGCUGCUCGAGUUCAAAAGUGUGUCAUACAGGACCUGCAGGCUGGGACAAUGAAAAGAAAAUAGCUAUUUUACAUGAAAAUUUUACAACCGUGAAGCCGGAAGAUGCAUAUGAAGACUUUAUUGUGAAACCUCCCGUGAGAAAGCUGGUCCACGACAAAGAGUUGGCAGCAGAAGAUGAGCAGGUGUUCCUAAUGAAGCAACAG